UUUUUCAUGUUGUGUAUAUGACUGGGAUCUUAGUUGUACUGUAAACUCUUGAUCUUGCAAGCGCCUGUUGAUAUUUUGUAGUGGUAAUUUUUUUCCUACAUGUUUCAUUUGUUGAUAUUUC